rnacentral:ncRNA from 1 species
AAUGGCGUAAACAAAGGGAAGCGAACCCGCGAGGGUGGGCAAAUCCCAAAAAUAACGUCUCAGUUCGGAUUGUAGUCUGCAACUCGACUACAUGAAG